rnacentral:rRNA from 1 species
UUAAAUUGAAGAGUUUGAUCAUGGCUCAGAUUGAACGCUGGCGGCAGGCCUAACACAUGCAAGUCGAGCGGAAACGAGUUAUCUGAACCUUCGGGGRACGAUAACGGCGUC